rnacentral:rRNA from 1 species
UACGGAGGGUGCAAACGUUGCUCGGAAUCAUUGGGCGUAAAGCGCACGUAGGCGGCCUGUUAAGUCGGGUGUGAAAGCCCUGGGCUCAACCCAGGAAGUGCACUCGAAACUGGCGGGCUUGAAUAUGGAAGAGGGUCGCGGAAUUCCCGGUGUAGAGGUGAAAUUCGUAGAUAUCGGGAGGAACACCAGUGGCGAAGGCGGCGACCUGGGCCAAUAUUGACGCUGAGGUGCGAAAAGCGUGGGGGAGCAAACAGG